GUAGGUGAACCUGCGGAAGGAUCAUUACCACGUAUAAAAAUUUAUUCGAUUAAACGUGAACGAGAUAGUUAUUUGAAUUGAGAGUAAAAUCUCAAGUGUUUAGAAUAAAAAUCAUGAGAAAACGAGAUUAGUCAAUAUGUUAGGGUACAUGUUGAUGUGGCUCAAUAUGUUAGGGUACAUGUUGAUGCGGGCUCAAGUAUUUCAUGGUUUGAAUUUUAUUACAUAAAAUAAUUAUCCAAUAAUUUUUUUA
rnacentral:misc_RNA from 1 species